rnacentral:rRNA from 1 species
AUUGAACGCUGGCGGCAGGCCUAACACAUGCAAGUCGAGCGGAGCGGCGGAGGGGUGAGUGAUGCCUAGGAAUGUGCCUGUGAGUGGGGGAUAGCGUCCGGAAACGGGCGCUAAUAUCGCAUACUAGCGGAUUCGGCUAGGUCGGAUUGGCUAGUGGGUGGGGUAAAGGCCUACCAAGGCGACGAUCCGUAACUGGUCUGAGAGGAUGAUCAGUCACACUGGAACUGAGACACGGUCCAGACUCCUACGGGAGGCAGCAGUGGGGAAUAUUGGACAAUGGGCGAAAGCCUGAUCCAGCCAUGCCGCGUGUGUGAAGAAGGUCUUCGGAUUGUAAAGCACUUUAAGUUGGGAGGCGUUACCAACAGAAUAAGCACCGGCUAACUCCGUGUCAGCAGCCGCGGUAAUUC